GAUCGCGUAGCUCAGUUGGUAGAGCAUUGGGCUAGUAUUCCAAAGGUCGUAGGUUCGAUUCCCACCGUGGCCA